CACACACAUACACACACACACACACACACACACACACUAUUCUUGUGAAUGUUUAAGCAUUUACUCUUUAUUUGCCAUAAUUAUGGGGGGGAACAGAAUAUUUCAGACAGCUGAAAUAAUCAUUUCCUCCUCUAUAACAUAGGAACAAAUUAUAUUUUCAACAAGUCCUUCACUGGGUUUAUUCCUCUCAUCAUGGACAACAAGUCCUGUGAAGUUUCUACUUUCUCAUACUGCAGUCAUCUGAUUUGCAGAAUGGUGGAUAACAUAAACAGUAUUUUUUUUUAAUUACAGGAAAUAGGUGUCAUGAUAACUGAACUUAUCUUUAACUUUUGUUUUGUCUUUCUCUACCCCCUACCCCUUCCUCAUCAUUAGAUGUGCAUGAUGCUUUCACGGGAAAAGACAUCCAUGUCCUUCUGUCGAGAGUGAAUGCAUACAAGUUGUUUUACUCUGAUAUAAGUAAAAUCGGUCCUAAUAUGGAACUGGAGAGUGAGUCUAUUAAUGCAUUUAUUGCUAUAAUCAUGAAGGAUUACAACAUCCAGAAUACAGGUCAGGCUGCUUUUAUUGAUUCAUUUGCAAUGACCUCAAUGUGGCAGGAAAAAGUCCAAGAUUAAAGAUGAACCCAAUGGAUUAUGAAGUAAUUCUGGGAAUUAAUAAUCGUCACAACCACUGGACAUUAGUGACUUAUUAGGUGAUCUACCCACAAGACAAAAGAUCUUUGUUCUUGGAUCCACUGGGGGAGUCAAAGCAAGACAUCCAGAAAUGUUUGCAAAUCUCAAGCUAUGGGGCAUUUAUGAGGAAGAAGGGAUGCAGUGUGUCAUGGUGGACAUGUGAUACUGUCAAACAUCCCAAACAACAGGACAGUACAUCAUGUGGAGUAUUUGCAUUGAAGAUCCAUACAAAUUUUCACACAAUUUUGCAGAAAGACUCCUUGCAAAAGAGGUUGUGGAUUUCCCUGUUUCCACAGAGGUGGUUAACAGCCUCAGGUUUGACAUUGCUGUAAAACUUCUCCUUAACAGUGGUGAGAAAUCUAACAUUUUUCUACCAAAAGUUUCUAAUUUUAAAGUUUGCAUUAAUUGUUAUCACGAUUACAAUUGUUUGCAGUUGUUGCUACAAAGAUAGGAAUACUUAGCCAAAAAUAACUGCAUUGACAAUAAGGUCUGCAAUAACAUUUGUUUAAGAACAUUUUUCAUCUUUUUCCACAAAUAAAUAAA